rnacentral:lncRNA from 1 species
UGCUGGGCAGAGGAUCAAACUUCAGGUCAGCAAGAGGACGGAUGGGCCAGCAGCCCCAGGGCAUCUUUCUGACUGACUGAGUCAAUCUCUCAACUCUGUGUGCAAACCUGACCUCCCCUCCUUGGACACAGCCUUCAUUUUCCAGUCCUGAGUCAUCUCCGGGAACCUUCUGUCCAGGCCACCAGCCAGCUGUCUCCCCAGACUCCAAGAUUGCUCAGAAGUUCCAAAGAGAAACUUUGCAACUGUGGAGCAGAGAAUCCAGACGACCCUUUGACUGCAUUCAAAACUGACUAAGAGCUGAUGGACGUUAUGUGAUCUCGGACCAGACAGCAUGAUGGGACAUUUGUGAGAACACAGUAUGUAAGUGAAGCAGAGAAGUGUUAGAUGAAACAUAUUAUCUGUAUUGUUCAAAACACCAUUGUUAUGCCAAGGAAAUAUCCCAGAUUUAAAAAGACCAAAGACACAAGAUAGGGGAAAUGAGAUAUGGCAUCCUAGACUGAAUCCCAGGGAAAUGGACAACACUGGAAUGUUGGUUUUGUUUUAGUUAGAAUUUUAUGCCUAUGAUAAAUUUCCUGAAUGUGUGAACUCUAUUAUAAUUAUAUAGAAAAUAUUCUCCUUUUAGGAAAUACUGAUGGAUUAAUGGGUUAAGG